rnacentral:rRNA from 1 species
CCCAGACUCCUACGGGAGGCAGCAGUGGGGAAUAUUGGGCAAUGGGCGCAAGCCUGACCCAGCAACGCCGCGUGAAGGAAGAAGGCUUUCGGGUUGUAAACUUCUUUUCUCAGGGACGAAGCAAGUGACGGUACCUGAGGAAUAAGCCACGGCUAACUACGUGCCAGCAGCCGCGGUAAUACGUAGGUGGCAAGCGUUAUCCGGAUUUACUGGGUGUAAAGGGCGUGUAGGCGGGACUGCAAGUCAGAUGUGAAAACCACGGGCUCAACCUGUGGCCUGCAUUUGAAACUGUAGUUCUUGAGUACUGGAGAGGCAGACGGAAUUCCUAGUGUAGCGGUGAAAUGCGUAGAUAUUAGGAGGAACACCAGUGGCGAAGGCGGUCUACUGGACAGCAACUGACGCUGAGGCGCGAAGGCGUGGGGAGCAAACAGGAUUAGAUACCCGUGUA